rnacentral:rRNA from 1 species
GACGUAGGGCGCGAGCGUUGUCCGGAUUUAUUGGGCGUAAAGAGCUCGUAGGCGGCUUGUCGCGUCGUCCGUGAAAACCUGCGGCUCAACUGCAGGCUGGCGGUCGAUACGGGCAGGCUGGAGUUCGGUAGGGGAGACUGGAAUUCCUGGUGUAGCGGUGAAAUGCGCAGAUAUCGGGAGGAACACCAGUGGCGAAGGCGGUUGCCUGGAGCUUUGCUGACGCUGAUGCGCGAAAGCUAGGGGAGCAAACAGG